CCCGGUCUUGGCGGGCCGGCAGCACCUGCUCCUCGUGCGCGAGGCCGGGCGGAUCCUCGCCGUCGAGCGGGCC
rnacentral:tRNA from 1 species